rnacentral:rRNA from 1 species
AUUGAACGCUGGCGGCAGGCCUAACACAUGCAAGUCGAACGAGUGGCGGACGGGUGAGUAAUGUCUGGGAAACUGCCUGAUGGAGGGGGAUAACUACUGGAAACGGUAGCUAAUACCGCAUACCAUCAGAUGUGCCCAGAUGGGAUUAGCUAGUUGGUGGGGUAACGGCGCACCAAGGCGACGAUCCCUAGCUGGUCUGAGAGGAUGAACAGACACACUUUAACUGAACGACGGUCCAGGCUCCUACGGGAUGCAGCAGUGGUGAAUAUUGCACAAUGGGCGCAAGCCUGAUUCAGCCAUGCCGCGUGUAUGAAGCAGGCCUUCGGGUUGUAAAGUACUUUCAGCGGGGAGUCGUUACCCGCAGAAGAAGCACCGGCUAACUCCGUGCCAGCAGCCGCGGUAAUAC